AGAUUGAACGCUGGCGGCAUGCCUAACACAUGCAAGUCGAACGGGAGUAGCAAUACUCUAGUGGCGGACGGGUGAGGAAUACGUAGGAAUUUGCCCUUAAGUGGGGGAUAACCCGGGGAAACCCGGAUUAAUACCGCAUGACCUCGAAAGAGCAAAGUGGGGGAUCGCAAGACCUCACGCUUUUGGAGAAGCCUACGUCGGAUUAGCUAGUUGGUGAGGUAAUGGCUCACCAAGGCGACGAUCCGUAACUGGUCUGAGAGGAUGAUCAGUCACACCGGAACUGAGACACGGUCCGGACUCCUACGGGAGGCAGCAGGUGGGGAAUAGUUGGACAAUGGGCGCAAGCCUGAUCCAGCAAUGCCGCGUGUGUGAAGAAGGCCUUGGGUUAGUAAAGCUACGUUUAAGGUUAGGGAAAGUAAAAACGUCGACUACUAACAC
rnacentral:rRNA from 1 species